AUGCGUGGCAUCCGUCUUUGGGGUGUUCUUUCUGGCGAGGUCUGCUGUCCGCCACGUCCAGUUCCUCCGGUGGCCCCUACUCCGCCAACUCCAUCGGUUCUUCCUACGGAUGCUAAUCAGGCCGCCAAGGAUGCGGCUAAGGUUGCUGAUGAGACUGCUGAUCGUGCUUAUGAUGAGAGGGUUUUGGCUUAUGAGGAGGCUCUUCAGUUGUAUCAUGGUGCUCUGUCUGCUUACACCCAGUGGCUUGAUGAUGAUGCUCGUGCUGCAGCUGUUCUCACUGCUAGUGUUCUGCCUCAGUUUGCUUCUGAAUUUCUGGGUCUUUCUACUGCCUUUGAGAUCUGGACCCGUCUUCGUGAGCGCUAUCAGCCCUCUGGUGAUGCCUUAUACCUCUCUGUGAUCCGUCAGGAGCAUGCUCUUCAGCAGGGUGACUCUACUGUUGAUGACUUCUAUGCACAGAGUUCUGCUAUCUGGCGCCAGCUUGAUUCUCUCCGUAGUGCUGGGUGUCGUACCUGCCCCUGUUGCCAGGCUGUCCAGGCUAAUUUGGAGUUUCAUCGCGUCUAUGAGUUCCUGUCUCGGCUCCGUAAGGAGUUUGAGCCCCGGCGUGCUCAGUUGUUUGCUCGUGGUCGUAUUUCUCUCAUGGAGGCGCUUUCUGAGAUUCGUGCUGAGGAGACUCGCUUAUGUGGUGCUGGUUUGCUGGAGGUUCCCUCUGUGCUCGCUACUCGUGCUCCUACGCCACCUGCUCCAUCGACCUCUUCUCGCUCGAGUGCUACGCCGCUCUUGCCCACUCCCUCUGGAGGCUCAGGUCGCCCCCGUCCACAUUGCGCCUAUUGCAACAAUGAUGGUCAUCUUGAGUCUCAGUGCUACACGAAGAAGAAACACCUGCGCAAGGCUCGAUCAUCAUCUUCAGGGACUUCGUCAUCUACCUCGACAGCUUCAGCCAUUGCUUUGACUGAACAAGAUAUUUUGAGACUUAAGCGUCUGCUCGCGGCUUCAGGUUCUUCCUCGACGGGUACUGCCGGUUCUGUGACUGAUGCUUCCCGCACUGAGCAAUCACCCUCUACACAGUCAGGUACAUCCCCAUGGGUUCUGGACUCUGGAGCUUCUUUUCAUAUGUCUUCUCAUUCUUCCACUUUGUCCUCUCUUCGAUCACUGGAUUCUCCUAUUCAUGUCUUCACUGCUGAUGGUACUCCACUUUCUGUUGCUAGUAGAGGCAAUCUUACUACUCCUUAUUCUGUUCCUGAUGUUGCUCAUGUUCCUCGACUUACCAUGAAUUUGUUUUCUGCUGGUCAACUUACGGAUUCUGGUUGUCGCGUCAUCCUCGACAUUGACUCUUGUUCUGUCCAGGACCGUCACACGCACACUCUGGUUGGGGUUGGCCCUCGCCGCCGUGACUCUCAGGGUCUUUGGGAGUUGGACUAG
rnacentral:rRNA from 1 species